rnacentral:rRNA from 1 species
GACAGAGGUGCCAAGCGUUAGGCGGAAUCACUGGGCUUAAAGCGUGUGUAGGCGGACUUGUAAGUACCUUGUGAAAUCCCACGGCUCAACCGUGGAACUGCUUGGUAUACUGCUUGUCUUGAGCCACUUAGGGGCUACCGGAACAAAUGGUGGAGCGGUGAAAUGCGUAGAUAUCAUUUGGAACGCCAAUGGUGAAAACAGGUAGCUGGGAGUGUGCUGACGUUGAGACACGAAAGCCAGGGGAGCGAACGGG